GCGUUUUUAGCUCAAUUGGAUAGAGCACCAGUUUUCGAAACUGUAGGUUACAAGUUCGAGUCUUGUAAAGCGCU
rnacentral:tRNA from 1 species